AAUUGUAAUCAUUGUAAAAUUAUUUAUAUAUAGUGACAAAAAGCUAAUUAUAUAGUGAGGAUAAUCUUAAUUAAUAGAUAUUUAAAACUUUUAAUAUUGAGUGAAACUUUCUUUUGAUUGAUAAUGUUUUUUUUUUAAAUCUGGCAUUCUAAAAUGGAACCAAUACAGAUGUAUUGGUGUGACAUAAAAAUUGCUACUUCAUGAGGUCUAUCUUCUUGUACAGCAUGUCCACAUCGAGGAAGUACUCUCAUUUGAAAUUUGCCUGAAAGAAAAUAAUGUAAACCAAACUAAAAUUAAGGUACGAUCAAGGCCAUCUAUACUGGCUAAUAACAGUAAUUUGGGUACAGGCACUUCUAAGAACAUGUUAGAGAGUCCUUUGAACCACCCGGGCCAAUGUUGUUCUGUUUGUGAUAAGUUAAUACGCCA